UACGGAGGAUUCAAGCGUUAUCCGGAUUUAUUGGGUUUAAAGGGUGCGUAGGCGGAUUUUUAAGUCAGCGGUAAAAUGUCCGGGCUCAACCCGGGCCGGCCGUUGAAACUGGGGAUCUAGAGUGUGCGAGAGGUAUGCGGAAUGCGUGGUAUAGCGGUGAAAUGCAUAGAUAUCACGCAGAACCCCGAUUGCGAAGGUAGCAUACCGGCGCCCUACUGACGCUGAGGCACGAAAGCGUGGGUAUCGAACAGG
rnacentral:rRNA from 1 species